rnacentral:tRNA from 1 species
AGCCUUGCGGUAUUUUACGUCAGGUUGCAAACCUGAAGAAGUAGGUUGACGCCUACCGGGGCUU